AGCAGCCGCGGUAAUUCCAGCUCCAAUAGCGUAUAUUAAAGUUGUUGCAGUUAAAAAGCUCGUAGUUGAAUUUCGGGAUUAGUACGUUGGUCGUGCCUUCGGUACGUACUGGUGUUACUGAUUCCUACCUUCUGACGAACCAUCAUGUCAUUAAUUUGGUGUGGCGGGGAAUCAGGACUGUUACUUUGAAAAAUUAGAGUGUUUAAAGCAGGCUCGCGCUUGAAUACAUUAGCAUGGAAUAAUGAAAUAGGACGUUGACCCUAUUUUGUUGGUUUCUAGGAUUGACGUAAUGAUUAAUAGGGAUAGUUGGGGGCAUUAGUAUUCAAUUGUCAGAGGUGAAAUUCUUGGAUUUAUUGAAGACUAACUACUGCGAAAGCAUUUGCCAAGGAUGUUUUCAUUAAUCAAGAACGAAAGUUAGGGGAUCGAAGACGAUCAGAUACCGUCGUAGUCUUAACCAUAAACUAUGCCGACUAGGGAUCGGAUGAUGUUAUUUUUAANGACUCAUUCGGCGACCUUACGG
rnacentral:rRNA from 1 species